CCAGCGAACUUGGCAGAGAUGCCUUGGUGCCUUCGGGAACGCUGAGACAGGUGCUGCAUGGCUGUCGUCAGCUCGUGUUGUGAAAUAGUUGGGUUAAGUCCGCAACGAGCGCAACCCUUAUCCUUUGUUGCCAGCGAUUCGGUCGGGAACUCAAAGGAGACUGCCGGUGAUAAACCGGAGGAAGGUGGGGAUGACGUCAAGUCAUCAUGGCCCUUACGAGUAGGGCUACACACGUGCUACAAUGGCGCAUACAAAGAGAAGCGACCUCGCGAGAGCAAGCGGACCUCAUAAAGUGCGUCGUAGUCCGGAUCGGAGUCUGCAACUCGACUCCGUGAAGUCGGAAUCGCUAGUAAUCGUGGAUCAGAAUGCCACGGUGAAUACGUUCCCGGGCCUUGUGCACACCGCCCGUCACACCAUGGGAGUGGGUUGCAAAAGAAGUAGGUAGCUUAACCUUCGGGAGGGCGCUUACCACUUUGUGAUUCAUGACUGGGGUGAAGUCGUAACAAGGUAAGCGUAGCGAG
rnacentral:rRNA from 1 species